UAAAACAUGCAAGUCGAAGGAGAAGCCCCUUCGGGGGUGGACACUGGCGAAAGGGCGAGGAAUACAUUCGAACGUGCCCCGAGGUGGGGAAUAGCGGCGGGAAACUGCCGGUAAUACCCCAUGUGCUCUCCGGAGGAAAGGUUUACCGCCUUGGGAGCGGCGAAUGUCCUAUCAGGUUGUUGGUGAGGUAACGGCUCACCAAGCCGAAGACGGGUAGCGGGUGUGAGAGCAUGACCCGCCGCAUCGGAACUGAGACACUGUCCGGACUCCUACGGGAGGCUGCAGUAACGAAUCUUCCGCAAUGCACGCAAGUGUGACGGAGCAAUGCCGCGUGCGGGAUGAAGCGGCUCCGCCGUGUAAACCGCUGUCAGAUUCCAGAAAGAACUGAUCAGAACCAGAGGAAGGGCCGGCUAAUCUCGUGCCAGCAGCCGCGGUAAUACGAGAGGCCCGAGCGUUGAGCGAAAUCACUGGGCUUAAAGGGUGCGUAGGCGGACCGGUAGGCGUCUUGUGAAAUCCCACGGCUCAACCGUGGAAUUGCAGGGCGAACCAUCGGUCUUGAGGUGGGUAGAGGUCGCCGGAACGUUGGGUGGAGCGGUGAAAUGCGUAGAGAUCCAACGGAACGCCAAUGGUGAAGACAGGCGACUGGGCCCAACCUGACGCUGAGGCACGAAAGCGUGGGGAGCAAACAGGAUUAGAUACCCUGGUAGUCCACGCCGUAAACGAUGCGCACUUGGUCGGUGGGGUGUUCACGCCCUGCCGGCCGGAGAGAAAUUGUUAAGUGCGCCGCCUGGGGACUACGGUCGCAAGGCUAAAACUCAAAGGAAUUGACGGGGGCUCACACAAGCGGUGGAGCAUGUUGCUUAAUUCGAAGCAACGCGAAGAACCUUACCUGGGCUUGACAUGCACGGAUUAGCUCUUGGAAACAUGAGUGACGCGGCUUGCCGUGGAACGUGCACAGGUGCUGCAUGGCUGUCGUCAGCUCGUGCUGUGAAGUGUCGGGUUAAGUCCCUUAACGAGCGCAACCCUUAUCGCUAGUUGCCAGCGCGUCAUGGCGGGGACUCUAGCGAGACUGCCGGUGUCAAACCGGAGGAAGGUGGGGAUGACGU
rnacentral:rRNA from 1 species